rnacentral:lncRNA from 1 species
UAUUCGAGUAUACGCGUCAAUAUUCAAGUUGGGUUGCUUACCUGCAUGUUCUGCAUACAUCGUCACAAAGUGUAGAUGCAAUUUUUUGCCCACGAGAUCCUGCAGUAUGUAUAGAACGAAUUUUCCCAAGCUCACUUGACAUGUGAAGUCUGUUCACCUGCAGCAGUAACAACAGGGGCUCUAUUAGCUCUGUUAUGCUCCUCUGAAUCAGAUUUUUUCUUUUGAUAAUUGACAGACUUUAUUCCUCAUAUAAUGGCUAAGUCGUUUACAAGAAUUAGAGAAAAAAAUCAGGGACAUUCAAAUCCCAAAAGCCUGACGAUCUAGUACUAGAACAUUUUUUUGCAAGCCUGUUAGCUACUCCAUUACUUUAUAAAAAAAUUUAGCUACUCCAUUAGC